rnacentral:rRNA from 1 species
AUUGAACGCUGGCGGCAGGCCUAACACAUGCAAGUCGAGCGAGCGGCGGACGGGUGAGUAAUGUCUGGGAAAAUGCCUGAUGGAGGGGGAUAACUACUGGAAACGGUAGCUAAUACCCCAUACCAUCAGCUAUGCCCAGAUGGGAUUAGCUGGUGGGUGGGGUAACGGCUCACCUAGGCGACGAUCCCUAGCUGGUCUGAGAGGAUGACCAGCCACACUGGAACUGAGACACGGUCCAGACUCCUACGGGAGGCAGCAGUGGGGAAUAUUGCACAAUGGGGGCAAGCCUGAUGCAGCCAUGCCGCGUGUGUGAAGAAGGCCUUCGGGUUGUAAAGCACUUUCAGCGGGGAGGCGUUACCUGCAGAAGAAGCACCGGCUAACUCCGUGCCAGCAGCCGCGGUAAUAC